rnacentral:rRNA from 1 species
GACGAACGCUGGCGGCGUGCUUAACACAUGCAAGUCGAACGGAAAGGCCCUGCUUUUGCGGGGUGCUCGAGUGGCGAACGGGUGUGUAUCACGUGAGUAUCCUGCCCCUGACUGUGGGAUAUCUUCAGGAAACUGCGGCUAAUACCGGAUAGGAGCUCCUGCUGCAUGGGGGGGGUUGGAAAGUUUCGGCGGUUGGGGAUGGACUCGCGGCUUAUCAGCUUGUUGGUGGGGUAGUGGCAUACCAAGGCUUUGACGGGUAGCCCGCCUGAGAGGGGGGACGGGCACAUUGGGACUGCGAGACGGCCCAGACUGCUACGGUAGGCAGUAGUGGGGAAUAUUGCACAAUGGGCGGGAGCCUGAUGCAGCAACGCCGCGUGCGGGAUGACGGCCUACGGGUGGUAAACCGCUUUCGCCUGAAACGAGGCGUGAGUGACGGUACUGAGUAAAGAAGCACCGGCUAACUACGUG